GGCCCACAGAGGGAGCCCCACUCCUCCCCUUGGGCGGGACCCGCCCUGGAGAGUGCUUUUAUCCUCCUUCUCCUCCGGGCCUCAUUCUUUCAGCCCUCAACCCCACUCCUUGGAGCAAGGAGAAGCAGAAGAAUUGGGGCUUGAUAGGUGCCUAUCCAGGAUCCGAUGUCCCAGGGGUCCCGGGGCAUUACAUGUCGACAGGGGUUUGAAGCCACACCAUUCCCACCACCAGUCUUCUGAAUCUUCACUCUCCCCACUGCAAUCCACCACAGUUCCCUUAAUGUUGUAGGCAUGGGUCAACCAUCUUCUCUACAACUAUCUGUCCACAUUUAUACAUAGUUGCCCCUUCUUUUUCUGAUUCAAUCCUCUCUUUCCCUCUAAGCCACACAUGACAUCAUAACUACCUCCACAUGUCCCUCUCCUUUUCCUUCUCUCUCUCUGGGUGCUGAUGGAGCUGGAAGGCAGAGUCCUCUUCUCUUCAUCCUAUCACGUCUCCCACGAUGGGAGUAUGGAUCAAGGUUGUUUAUGGGGAACAAAAGACAGGACAGAAAAAUUGAGAGGAGGAAAAUAUAGGAAGAGAGAAAAGACACCUGCAGACUUGAAGGUACAGAGGCCAGGCUCUGGGAAAGCCCCCAACUGUCAUUGCCAAGGUGAUUGCUAUGGUUAUCAAGAAGAGAUUUUGGUGGAAGGUAGCUUCAGCUUUCACUUGAGAUGUGUGUCUACAGCUGCUCCUUACAACUCCCCUCAUCACAUCCAAGCAAUUUCAGGAAAAACUGGUGGUUUACAAGGUGUCAUCGCCAAGAUUAGUCUGUGACAGUGUAUGACAGUGAUAGUAGAGUCUGUGGACAUUUCAGAAUACCACUGUUGACCCAAAGGAAAGCUGGAUAAAUGGUCAUUCAGUCACAUCCUAGAACAAAACCCCUUAUUUCAGAGACUUUGGUCAAAGAAGUAGUACUAAACGGAGACUUGACAACUGCAGUGCUAUCUCCAGGAAUUUCACAACCUCUGACAGAUCUGUUCCAAAUGUUCCCAGACUCAAGUCCAAGUGGUACAAUCUCACCAGAGCCUCUACGUAGGUAAACUGAGAAUUUGCUCUUCUAGGAACUGACUGGGAGGAUUCAACUGUGUGCCCAUACUCAAGGUAUCUUCUGACAUCUGCAAACCUGAAGUGCUCAAGAAAGAACUAUUGAGAGAUAUUCAGUCAUGAAGGCAGGCUAAGAGGAUCCACUGGGUAGAGGCACUGUUCCCAGUAUCAUUUAAAGUGGGUAUGCUCUUCUAAAAAGGCCCCCUGAGUUGGUGUUGUUAUUUCCAUCUGGAGAAAGACCUUCAAGGCAGGAUGCUAUCUAUACUCUGCAUUGGUGCCCUUCCUCAGUCAGAUCUGAAGUUGUAUUUAUUAGCUACAGAGGAUAAAUUUUCAUGGUGGAAGUUGACAUCAAUUGUCAGAAGCAGCACACUUGUCUAUAAGGUGGUCUUGAUCGAAAUCUUGACAAGUCUAUGUCCUUCACCACAAAUGGCAACAACAGACUCUGAACUGAUUGAUCAGCAGCUUAUCUGAUUUACAGGUUUCUGUAGAUAACCCCGCAGGCCGGGGCACCUGGCGCCCAACGUGGGGCCUUUUUGGGUCUGGGGUUCAAGAGAACGUCGCUCCCGAUGGUCGACCAAGGAGCAUAGGACCACCACUUCAGAGAAGGAGCGAGUGAAGGUUCGCAUAAGAUCGCCACUCUAGCCCAGAGUGAGUGAAGAUCCGUGUGGUGAUCGCCGCAGAUUCGCCCAUCUGUGAGAUUGAUCCGUUUGGAGCUCAUUCUGCUUCCAUGAGGAUAUUUGGCCUGUUCCUAAGCCCCAUUUGGAUGAAGUAGCUGCAUGAGCAAAGAAGAAAAGCAACCACUCAAGAAGAGGGAAAUACAGGUUAGUAAUGAAUACUUGGAAAAUCUAUGCUCUCCACCAAAUGAAGAAACAGACAAUCCUGAACCAGCUCUCAUUUGACUUGUGAAGAAAGCGGCACCAGGAAUAUCUCUGGCAGCGUACAAACACCCCACAUUAUUUCGCAGGAAUAAGGACUUUCGUUCUAGGAUGUGACACAGUUAUUAUUUACAUAACUGCUUUUUUUUUUUUUUCUGGAGAAAUCUAGAUCCUGGAAAACAUAUACUGGCCUACUCCUUUUUUUUUUUUUUGUUAAGUAUGACUAAGUACUCCAACUCAGAAGAACAGAGAAAGAAAGCAACUAAUAGUUUAAAGAACCCAGGUACCUGCUGCUACUAGCGUUUAGUUAGUAAUGAGCAGGCGAGUUACUUAGUACUGGACUUCAUGGAUUAACUACAUUUCCCAAGAAUGACUGUGACAAAAACAGUUUAAUGCAGUGAGGCUACCUUCACCUGACCAGUCACAGACGAUGAGAGUGGGACUAAAUGCAAUAUAAUCACUGAAAGUUUACGUUAUUCACUGUUGACACCUUGGUAUGAGAUGUCCCCUUGCUUUCACAAUGUUUGGGCUUCAAAAUAUAGGGGUACAUCAAUCACAGAAAAAGCCCUUGUGUAGUUUGCAGUUGCUAAAAGUAUUAAAUGUAAGGAAUAUUAAGUGACUUUAUUCUGUACUUCUUACCUCCCACUAUUAGGGCAUCUAUGUUCUGUUUAAUAAGUAAAACUUGUGCUUUCACAUUUAACUAAUAAAGCAUCUGUUUUCCUUAA